rnacentral:rRNA from 1 species
CCUACGGGUGGCAGCAGUGGGGAAUAUUGCACAAUGGGGGAAACCCUGAUGCAGCGACGCCGCGUGAGUGAAGAAGUAUUUCGGUACGUAAAGCUCUAUUAGCAGGGAAGAAAAUGACGGCACCUGACUAAGAAGCCCCGGCUAACUACGUGCCAGCAGCCGAGGUAAUACGGAGGGGGCAAGCGUUAUCCGGAUUUACUGGGUGUAAAGGGAGCGUAGACGGUAGCGCAAGUCCGGCGUGAAAUCCCAUGGCUUAACCGUGGAACUGCUUUGGAAACUGGGCAGCUAGAGUGCAGGAGAGGUAAGCGGAAUUCCUAGUGUAGCGGUGAAAUGCGUAGAUAUUAGGAGGAACACCAAUGGCGAAGGCAGCUUACUGGACUGUAACUGACGUUGAGGCUCGAAAGCGUGGGGAGCAAACAGGAUUAGAUACCCUGGUAGUC